rnacentral:tRNA from 1 species
GCUUCGUUAGCUCAGUUGGUAGAGCGUGAGGCUGUUAACCUCAAGGUCGGGAGAUCGAAACUCCCAUGAAGCG